AACGAACGCUGGCGGCAGGCUUAACACAUGCAAGUCGAGCGCCCCGCAAGGGGAGCGGCAGACGGGUGAGUAACGCGUGGGAACGUACCUUUUGGUUCGGAACAACUCCGGGAAACUGGAGCUAAUACCGGAUAAGCCCUAACGGGGAAAGAUUUAUCGCCGAAAGAUCGGCCCGCGUCUGAUUAGCUAGUUGGUGAGGUAACGGCUCACCAAGGCGACGAUCAGUAGCUGGUCUGAGAGGAUGAUCAGCCACACUGGGACUGAGACACGGCCCAGACUCCUACGGGAGGCGGCAGUGGGGAAUAGUGGACAAUGGGCGCAAGCAUGAUCCAGCCAUGCCGCGUGAGUGAUGAAGGCAUUAGAGUUGUAAAGCUCUUUUGUCCGGGAAGAUAAUGACUGUACCGGAAGAAUAAGCCCCGGCUAACUUCGUG
rnacentral:rRNA from 1 species